AUUACCGGAGCCGACCGCCGGCAGGACGCUGGUCCCGCCGGGGGGACUACCUGCGCGCACGCUGCACGCCGACGUACGAGAGCGAGUGCGCGCCGCGCUCCCGGGCUCGUUCACUGCGCUGUGUACCCGGACAGGUGGUGCAGGCGGUUUGUACCGUGAACAGCACCUGUGAGUGCGACUGUGAACAGGAAUACUACAACUACAAGAGGAAGCACCGCCACAGCGAGUGUCCGUCCUGAGGUGUAAAGAGUGGUUCUCUGAGCUACUGUAGCCCUGCUGUCGGCUCCGAGCAGUCUGACCUCUGACCUCUCUCGUCGGCCAGGUGUCGCUGGAUGGUUUUCAAACUCUGGAGACUGUCGUGUGUGAAAAUCCCAGGAGAUCAGCAGCUUCAGACCCAGAGCCAGCAGAGGGGAGGUUGUGCACAAUCCGACGCAGCCGCCUGAUGGACGUUUUCUGGUGGAGGAAGAAAGCCGGGAGGAUUUCUUUGAGGUAGAUGGCUCCAUCUGCGUGAAAGGAGGAAGACCAUCAGUGAGCAGAAUGAGCAGUGAUCUUACCUCUGGACGCGAGCCCAUCAUCUGCCAUGCACACGCUGUUGUGCCAGGUGGAGCCCCUCAGCAGCAGCUGCAGCCCUACGGCAUAGCAGCUCUGGUGCUCUGUGCAGUUGUGGUGA